rnacentral:rRNA from 1 species
GACGAACGCUGGCGGCGUGCUUAACACAUGCAAGUCGAACGGAAAGGCCCUGCUUUUGUGGGGUGCUCGAGUGGCGAACGGGUGAGUAACACGUGAGUAACCUGCCCUUGACUUUGGGAUAACUUCAGGAAACUGGGGCUAAUACCGGAUAGGAGCUCCUGCUGCAUGGUGGGGGUUGGAAAGUUUCGGCGGUUGGGGAUGGACUCGCGGCUUAUCAGCUUGUUGGUGGGGUAGUGGCUUACCAAGGCUUUGACGGGUAGCCGGCCUGAGAGGGUGACCGGCCACAUUGGGACUGAGAUACGGCCCAGACUCCUACGGGAGGCAGCAGUGGGGAAUAUUGCACAAUGGGCGGAAGCCUGAUGCAGCAACGCCGCGUGCGGGAUGACGGCCUUCGGGUUGUAAACCGCUUUCGCCUGUGACGAAGCGUGAGUGACGGUAAUGGGGAAAGAAGCACCGGCGAACUACG